UCUCCGUUGGUGAACCAGCGGAGGGAUCAUUACAGAGUUGCAAAACUCCCAAACCAUUGUGAACGUUACCUAUCCCGUUGCUUCGGCGGGCGGCCUGGGCUCCGCGCCCGGCGCCCCCCGGCCCCCCGUGGGCGCCCGCCGGAGGUAAACCAAACCCUUGAAUUGCAUGGCCUCUCUGAGUCUUCUGUACUGAAUAAGUCAAAACUUUCAACAACGGAUCUCUUGGUUCUG
rnacentral:misc_RNA from 1 species